AUUGAACGCUGGCGGCAGGCUUAACACAUGCAAGUCGAGCGAGCGGCGGACGGGUGAGUAAUGUCUGGGAAACUGCCUGAUGGAGGGGGAUAACUACUGGAAACGGUAGCUAAUACCGCAUACCAUGAGAUGUGCCCAGAUGGGAUUAGCUAGUAGGUGGGGUAAUGGCGCACCUAGGCGACGAUCCCGAGCUGGUCUGAGAGGAUGACCAGCAACACUGGAACUGUGACACGGUCCAGACUCCUACGGUAGGCAGCAGUGGGGAAUAUUGCACAAUGGGCGCAAGCCUGAUGCAGUCAUGCCGCGUGGGUGAAGAAGGCCUGCGGGUUGUAAAGUACUUUCAGCGAGGAGGCGGUACUCGCAGAAGAAGCACCGGCUAACUCCGUGCCAGCAGCCGCGGUAAUAC
rnacentral:rRNA from 1 species